rnacentral:lncRNA from 1 species
AUGACAUCAAGAUUGGAAUGUUUGGAAUCAUCAGCUCUUUUAGUUUCACUGAAGGCAGAUCCUGGAAGACUGCAGCAGAGUUCCACUGUUGCCGAGGAGACAGCUGUCAAUCAUCAGCAGCUGCUGGAACGCUCCAUUGAGACGCUUCAGGGGGAGCUCAGCUGUGCUGUGAAAGAUGGAGAGACCCUGAGAGAAGAGAGACAUCAGAUAAAGAGGAAGGUGGAGAUGACCACGGUGAACUCAGCACUGCAGAAACAGAAGGAGGACAACAAGGAGCUGAUGGAGAGCCUGGCAGCCUUCAGCAUCAGCAGGUAA